GAGAAAACGCACAGACCAGAAGACACCCAGACAGUGGGCUGUUCUCACUGACGACAUUUGUGCCGCAUUCCUCCUCGCCCCUGGAGUGCAUUGCGACACUCAGACUGGUGGUUCUGGGAGCCAAGCAGCUGAUGGGAGAGCCUCAGGAGGCAGCAGAGACAAAUUAAUCUUCAGAUCCACCAGUUCCCCUGAAACAUACCACUUGCUAAACUGAAUUUCAAGCCAAGAGCGGCAGUUUUCCACAGCCCAAGUCUGGAAAAGCCUGUGAAACCAUGUUGGGUUCGAAACCAAAGUUGGUUUUUUGCUGUUUUUCGUGGAGCACCAGAGGGACAACUCCAGAAUUCCAGAUGUGAGGCAGCUGGAGGGACGUGUGUGUCCAGACAUCUGCACAGCAGCUUCAGAAAGGCGACCACGGACAGCAGCUAAAAACCACCACUGACGACCUUCUUUCUCUUUUCUUACCUGAACCUCUGGACUUACUUGUCUGAAAAGAGAGAGGAAAAAAAAAAAGCUGGCACUCAUUGUUUUGUUUUCUCAAUUUUCUUGUCAACUGACUCAUGAUAAAAGAAUGUCCUUUUCAAUCAAUUUCAAUUCCGCAGAACAGAAAAAUAGAGAAUUUAUAGGCAACUAUUGGAAACAAAGGAACCAUCUGUUUUUUUAAGUAUAAUUUUUCUCUGAAAUCGUUCUCUCCAAAUACUUGGAUCAUUUAUUUUCCCUCACCGCACCACUCUGCAGUGACCCAGAGAACCCCAUUGUCCAACCCAGAUUAUCAGAUAUUCUGAAGGGAUGAUGCAAUGUGUCAACAAAGACUCCAUCUGCCGUUAUAUAAGCAUCUCUAUGCUCAAUAAAAGAGAAUGAUCCUAAGCUCUAGUUAUAAAGAACCAUGACAAAAAAAAUAUGAAAAUUUUCUAGGCAAAAAAACAGGCUGUUAGUUUAUUUUAAAUAAAUAUUUUAGUGACAGUGGUUUUGUUUUAGCAUACUGAAAAUACUAAGUCCUAGAUUAUGAACCACCCCCCCAUUAUAUAAAUAGAUUAGAAGGGCAUGUUGGAUAUGAUCUCAUUCCUUCAUUUGCUCAUUCAUUUACCCAAAAAGUAUUUACAUUUCUUUAAUAUUUAAUGUAGUGCUUAAUAUAAUGUUGUAGAUAAUAAAU
ensembl:lncRNA